rnacentral:tRNA from 1 species
ACAGACUUAAGUUAAGUGGAAACUAUUGGUCUUCAAAACCGAAAAUUUUUAGAUCUGUG